rnacentral:tRNA from 1 species
GCCGAGGUGGCGGAAUUGGUAGACGCGCUAGUUUCAGGUACUAGUGAGCAUAAGCUCGUGGAGGUUCAAGUCCUCUCCUCGGCACCA